rnacentral:lncRNA from 1 species
AGACCGAUGAGUGGACAAUAUUUUAUCCAUUGCUUCACUAAGCAAGAUGCAGCGGGCUAGGUCUUUAAGUCCUGUGGCCUCACCUAACAGUUAUUGGCACAUUCCUUAGUUAAGUCAAAUCCAUCAUUCACCAGUGGAUGUAAAGUCAUCAUUGGGACCCUUACCUAAUAGUUAUUGGAUCCAAUCUCAUCUCUACCUCAAGAUAUCACAUAUCAAUAGAGUGGUUGUACCUUCUUGAUGCAACCAAACCACUGUAACUAGCCGAGAACAAUCA